rnacentral:rRNA from 1 species
AAUGAACGCUGGCGGCGUGCCUAACACAUGCAAGUCGAACGCGAAAGCCCUUCGGGGUAAGUAGAGUGGCGUCCGGGUGAGUAACACGUGGGUAAUCUACCUUCGGGUGGGGAAUAACUCAGGGAAACUUGAGCUAAUACCGCAUAAUGCAGCGGCACCCUAAUGGUGAUUAGUUGUUAAAGCGGGGGAUCGCAAGACCUCGCGCCUGAAGAGGAGCCUGCGGCAGAUUAGCUAGNGGUGAGGUAAUGGCUCACCAAGGCUUCGAUCUGUAGCUGGUCUGAGAGGACGGCC